CCCUCACACACUCCUCUGACCGCCUCACACACUCCUCUGACCGUCUCACACACUCCUCUGACCUCCUCACACACUCCUCUGACCUCCUCACACACUCCUCUGACCGUCUCACACACUCCUCUGACCGUCUCACACACUCCUCUGACCAUCUCACACACUCCUCUGACCGUCUCACACACUCCUCUGACCGUCACACACACUCCUCUGACCGUCACACACACUCCUCUGACCGUCACACACACUCCUCUGACCGUCACACACACUCCUCUGACCGUCACACACACUCCUCACACACUCCUCUGACCGUCUCACACACACUCCUCUGACCAUCUCACACACUCCUCUGACCUCCUCACACACUCCUCUGUCCGUCUCACACACACUCCUCUGAUCUCCUCACACACUCCUCUGACCGUCUCACACACUCCUCUGACCGUCUCACACACUCCUCACACACUCCUCACACACUCCUCUGGCCGUCUCACACACUCCUCUGACCGUCUCACACACACUCCUCUGACCAUCUCACACACUCCUCUGACCUCCUCACACACUCCUCUGACCGUCUCACACACUCCUCUGACCUCCUCACACACUCCUCUGUCCGUCUCACACACACUCCUCUGACCUCCUCACACACUCCUCUGACCGUCUCACACACUCCUCUGACCUCCUCACACACUCCUCUGACCGUCUCACACACUCCUCUGUCCGUCUCACACACUCCUCUGUCCGUCUCACCUGGGGUUGUUGACAACCUCGUCCAGCGCCUGCAGCAGUGUUUCCACGGUGAUAUGGUUAAUAUCCAGGACCACGCCCACUCCCUUACUGGCCAAUCGCUGAGCGUUGUCAGGUUGGUCGCCGAACAGCGGCAGCAUCACCAUGGGAACGGCGUGACACACCCCCUCGUACAGACCGUGGGUCCCGCUGUGGGUCAGGAAGGCCCGUGCACCAUGACCCAGCAGGUCAUUCUGAGGGAUCCACUUCAUCAUCUUCACGUUGUCUGGAAUGUUACCAGGAACAGGCCCAGAGUACCGCCACAGGACCUACACACACACACACACACACACACACACACACACACACACACACACACAGUUAAUAUAGCAAAUUGAAUUAGCCGACAGC
rnacentral:lncRNA from 8 species